rnacentral:rRNA from 1 species
CGGCACGGGUGAGUAACACGUAUCCAACCUGCCGUCUACUCUUGGCCAGCCUUCUGAAGGAAGAUAAUCCAGGAUGGCAUCAUGAGUUCACAUGUCCGCAUGAUUAAAGGUAUUUCCGGUAGACGAUGGGGAUGCGUUCCAUUAGAUAGUAGGCGGGGUAACGGCCCACCUAGUCAACGAUGGAUAGGGGUUCUGAGAGGAAGGUCCCCCACAUUGGAACUGAGACACGGUCCAA